UUGUGGAGCAGGUCUGGCAGAACCUCCGGCUCAGGGAGCGGAGGAGGCUUGAAAGCAGCCUCAGUCUUCUUCAGUUCUUUUUCCUCUUGCUCCUCCUUGACUGAAGAAAAAUAAUUUGAAUUGCUUGUUUGGAUUUUCCAACUUUCACACAGCAUAAAAGUAUAUACAAGUAUUAUAAAACAUGAGGGACUGGAUAUGAAAGUAGCCAAGCAGACUAGCUGUGUUGUGGUAGGCGAGUGUGAAUAUUUCGUGAUGAUGACCCCUUUUUUGGUUUGGACUAGCAAAGGGCUGCAAUUGUUAACAUUAAACUAUAGAGUGCAGGAUGCAAAAAUCAAAGUACUUUGUACUGAAUGCUCCAUGGGGUCGUCCUCAUCCAUCUUCUCAAUUUUAAUAGUAGGAGUACUAAAUUCCUCCUUGAAACCCCAUCCUGACACAGCGAGAGGAAGCUGAACUGGGCAGCUCCUCUGUUCACUCCUCAGGAAAGGAUCAUCUAUGAACUAAAAACAAAUGUAACACAUCAUUACAAUAACUACAAAGCAAACACCACUCGAUGCAUGUGUUUAUCAAGUGCAACUCACGUUGUCUCGAUCCAGUUGGCGUAGGAUCUCUUUGGUCUCUUCCUCAGUUUCUCUCUUCUCUUUUUUGAUAUUGAUGAUGUGUGAGAGUCCCGUGCUUGGGGCAUCUCGCUCACUUUCAUAGCCGACUGUAUAUUAAAAACAGGGAAGUUACUCAAUAUAUCAUUUAACCAAAAAUACGGUGUACGUCACACCUUUUCUUCUCAUGGCCAUUUCUGCAGGGCCCUGCUCAAAAAUAGAGUGGGACUGGAUGAGCUCUGCGCGACCACGGCCUCUGCCCCUAUCUCUUGGACCUCUGCCUCGGGUUGAAUCCUUUCUCUCCCUUCUUGGCCCGCCUUCAUCCUUGGUGCUUUCAGGCAAAAUGCAUAGUAACAAAACUUUUGCAAAUUUGCUUUUAGAAUACAGGAUUGCUUGUGAACUUACUCUUCUCUAACUUUACGGCCGAUGAUGUUGGGUGUAAAUGUUUUCUAAGGGAAAGAAACAGUGGAAAAAAUGUAUGUAAAUGUAUCUCAACUAGGGACUUGGUUCUGAGAGACGUUUAAUUCGAUAUAUUUCCAAUAUACCUUUUUCACUCCCCCCAAGGUGAGGUCUCUCGAACGCAUUGCAGGGAGGCGACCAGCAGAGAUGGUAGCAGGUGGUCUGCGGCCCAUCAGUUGGCCCCUGCCACUCCCUCCCGGGGGUGGCAUGCGAUGACCACUGGGAUCACCGGCACCUGGAUCAGCCAUCCUAAGCACACACAAAAAAAUGCAGUCAGUGAUCACCACUGCCAUGUUUCAAAAUUGCCGUUUUUGUGACUCACUUCAACUGGACGUUCUUCCUGACAUAACCGUGACAUUCAUUCAAGGAUUCUCUGACUGGCUGGGUGUAAUAUGAAUAAAAAGGAGUGUUUAGAUGCACGAAUGAAGUCUUCAGCAGUCUUCAUCCACUGUAGAACACAUACACCAAUGGGAAGGUGACAGCGCGCAGUGACACGACGGGAAAGAAAGCAAUGGCAAGCGAUUGUGAGGUCUGAUUUUUUUUUAGAGGAGGCAUUUUUGUGAUGCAAAUGUAUUACUCUUUUGAACGCAUAUUGUUAUGAGAACCAAAACUUGAACCAAAACCAACUAACCGGAACAAAGUUCCUCAUCACCGAAAUCCGACCAGAAUUCAGUUUAUGGGACAAAGUGGGAGGUAAGUGGGGAUAAGUCACUGUUGAAAAGGAAAAAAUUGCCACUAAGGAAAAGGAUCGCCACAAAACACGUCAAAAAUGCCACCUCAUGGUCACAACGAGGUACAGCAUUUUAUAAUUUACAGCAGUAAAAUACGAAAACAAUGUUGCUAUAAAUGUGUUCCCUAGGGGAGCUGGCGGGCGGCCAGGAAGUGAUGCCAGGGGUUCAGAGUUGAGUUUUAGUUUGGUGUGGGUUACGGCCGCAACAGUAGCCUGUGUUUAUUUGGGAUUUUUAUGAGGAAUUAUUGUGCCUGUUGUGAGAUAAUUCAUACCUGCAUUAAGAGCCUCUUGCUCUGGCGAUCUGUUCCUCGUCUCACCAAACAUUACAGUAACAUUACUGACACCAGUGUACAAUACUUCAUAUCAUUCUGUGUCUUUGAAUGCAUCUUCUAUAAUAUUUAUUUGUAUUUUAGCUCAUUUAGCCAUUUUUAUGCUUGAAAAUGCUUAAUUUAGACAAAUGUACAUAACAUUUGCUUCACUAUGAAUUUUUGACUGAUAAUACACAGUUUUCAACCAUAACACAGCAUGGUUUAUUAAUAUAUUUUUGAAAAAUUGUGAUAAAGUGAAGCCACAAAAUUCUAGGCAAUGGACGACUGUAUAUAAAUGUUAACAAUGUAACAAUAUGAACAACCUAACAAAAACACACACGGAUCCGAUACUCAUACUACCCUUGGUAUUGAUAUUAUCUUAAUAUAAAAUAUCAACGCCAUUACGCCAGUAUCAAGCCGAUCCUCAGACAACCGUUGGUAUCGAUACUAUCUUCAUGUUUUGCCCUCCUCUACUCACACAGAGUUCCAGUACAGUACCAUAUUGUUUGGUAGUCCUUGUUAAAAAUAACGUUUUUAUGGAUGUAUCAGGAAGUACAGGCAGUGAACCAAUGCAUUGCAAUUGAUGUGAAACGGAUGGGGUGUAAGAUUAAAUAAGAUGUGCUUCUUGCUACUCCCUUUGCCAUGUAGAAUUGUGAAUUGUAUG